rnacentral:rRNA from 1 species
UCCGAAGGGUGCAAUCGUUGUUCGGAAUCACUGGGCUUAAAGCGUGCGCAGGCGGAUCAGCAAGUCAGGAGUGAAAUCCCCGGGCUCAACCCGGGAACUGCUUUUGAAACUAUUGAUCUAGAAUCCCGGAGGGGCCAGUAGAAUUCCGAGUGUAGAGGUGAAAUUCGCAGAUAUUCGGAGGAAUACCAGUGGCGUAGGCGACUGGCUGGACGGGUAUUGACGCUCAGGCACGAAAGCGUGGGGAGAAAACAGG